rnacentral:rRNA from 1 species
CGCAUCUGUGCAUGCAGCAUAUCAAUAAGCGGAGGAAAAGAAACUAACAAGGAUUCCCCUAGUAACGGCGAGUGAAGCGGGAAGAGCUCAAAUUUGAAAUCUUAAAGGGUUUCCCUUUACGAAUUGUAGUUUAAAGAAGUGUUUUCUGUUGAGGUUUUGGUAAAAGUUCUUUGGAAUAGGACAUCAUAGAGGGUGAGAAUCCCGUAUUUGACCUUUACUUUCAACUUUGUGAUACACUUUCAAAGAGUCGGAUUGUUUGGGGAAUGCAGUCCAAAAUGGGUGGUAAAUUUCAUCUAAAGCUAAAUAUUGGCGAGAGACCGAUAGCGAACAAGUACCGUGAGGGAAAGAUGAAAAGAACUUUGAAAAGAGAGUUAAACAGUACGUGAAAUUGUCAAAAGGGAAGCGUUUGACACCAGUGUUGUUUUUCUGAAAAUCAAUUAAAGAACUGUUUAUGCUAAGCUGUUUAGACUUUAUCAGCUAAUCUGUUUAGUUUUGAGCUUUUCUUUAAUGCACUUUUCAGUUAACAAGUCAACAUCAAUUUCUUUUGCUGUAAAAAAGCUUGAGGAAGGUGGCUUGAGAUUCGUCUUAAGUGUUUAUAGGCCUCUUGCCUAUGCAGUCGGAGAGAUUGAGGUCUGCAGCGUAGAUCCUUCGGGGCUAAAUGCAUUUGUGCUAAGUUAUAGCACUUUAUAGACAACUUGUUGACUAUGAUUUGUCUUGUAGCUUACUCGCUUAUGUUAUUUUACCUACGCUUAGGAUGUUGAACGCGCACAGAGUCUC